UCCCGGGUGACGCAAUUGGUUAGCGUGUCAGACUUUUACAGUAUAAGUAAAUCUGAAAGUUGCGAGUUCGAGUCUCGCCUCGGGAG
rnacentral:tRNA from 1 species